rnacentral:rRNA from 1 species
CCUACGGGUGGCAGCAGUGAGGAAUAUUGGUCAAUGGACGAGAGUCUGAACCAGCCAAGUAGCGUGAAGGAUGACUGCCCUAUGGGUUGUAAACUUCUUUUAUAUGGGAAUAAAAUGUUCCACGUGUGGGAUUUUGUAUGUACCAUAUGAAUACGGAUCGGCUAACUCCGUGCCAGCAGCCGCGGUAAUACGGAGGAUCCGAGCGUUAUCCGGAUUUAUUGGGUUUAAAGGGAGCGUAGGUGGAUUGUUAAGUCAGUUGUGAAAGUUUGCGGCUCAACCGUAAAAUUGCAGUUGAAACUGGCAGUCUUGAGUACAGUAGAGGUGGGCGGAAUUCGUGGUGUAGCGGUGAAAUGCUUAGAUAGCACGAAGAACUCCGAUUGCGAAGGCAGUUCACUGGACUGCAACUGACACUGAGGCUCGAAAGUGUGGGUAUCAAACAGGAUUAGAUACCCCAGUAGUC